rnacentral:rRNA from 1 species
UACGUAGGGACCAAGCGUUGUUCGGAUUUACUGGGCGUAAAGGGCGCGUAGGCGGCACUGUAAGUCACUUGUGAAAUCUCUGAGCUUAACUCAGAACGGCCAAGUGAUACUGCAGCGCUAGAGUGUGGAAGGGGCAAUCGGAAUUCUUGGUGUAGCGGUGAAAUGCGUAGAUAUCAAGAGGAACACCUGAGGUGAAGACGGGUUGCUGGGCCAACACUGACGCUGAGGCGCGAAAGCCAGGGGAGCAAACGGG